rnacentral:sRNA from 1 species
GUAUUAUGCUAUCAGCAUAGUUGAUUAUCUUUUUGAGAAGUAGUACUGUAAAGAACAAGGUUUAAAACUAAUCCGCAUGAAAUCAGGAGGGCAUUCUAGAAUCUACUUCAGCGCGCCCGAAAUAAACAUUCCUUCAACUUCUCUGCAUCUGUUUGUGGUGUGGUUGUAUAUGUGAUAGGAUUGAUAGAUAACCUCUUGUGCUUCUUUCGCCGGACAGCGAGGUUUUUUCAGUCUUCUCUGAUUUUGCUGCCAAGGUAGUAGGAAUUUGAUCUCUUCCGGUUUAUUUUGAAGGCUCAAUAAGAGAGGAAUAGAAAAUAACUUAGAAUGAGUGGGUUAUACCUAGGAUAUCGGAUGAGCUAUUCUUUUUCAUAGCUUGCGAGCUCAAUUCAAACGGCUCCAUUCCGAAUAUAACUAUGGCUCAGCAUCUGAUAAUAAAAGAAACCAGAUUUAUCAAUACACGAAAAGUAUUCUUGACAUGGAGAGUGCGCAGGAUACUCCUGA